GAUGAACGCUAGCGGCAGGCCUAAUACAUGCAAGUCGAACGGUGUCUUCGGACAUAGUGGCGCACGGGUGCGUAACACGUAUGCAACCUACCUUACAUUGGGGGAUAGCCUUUCGAAAGGGAGAUUAAUACCGCAUAAGACAGUAGCUGGGCAUCCAGCAGCUGUUAAAGAUUUAUCGAUGUAAGAUGGGCAUGCGUCCAAUUAGUUAGUUGGCGAGGUAACGGCUCACCAAGACUUUGAUUGGUAGGGGAACUGAGAGGUCAAUCCCCCACACGGGCACUGAGAUACGGGCCAGACUCCUACGGGAGGCAGCAGUAGGGAAUAUUGGGCAAUGGACGCAAGUCUGACCCAGCCAUGCCGCGUGCAGGAUGAAGGCGUUAUGCGUUGUAAACCGCUUUUAUACAGGAAGAAACGACUCUUGCGAGAGGCAUUGACGGUACUGUAUGAAUAAGCACCGGCUAACUCCGUGCCAGCAGCCGCCGUAAAAC
rnacentral:rRNA from 1 species